CAGAACGACGUAUGCUCUUACAAGAACAUGGGUUGGUGGCUUUGGAAUUUAUUGAAAGAUAUGCUGUCUCUACAAAUCCAAACCCGCGAGAACAAUGUCCAGCUCGCUGACGUUGAGAAGAGGCAUUGCUCCUUGCGAAAAUUAUCCACCGGCUAGCCGCUCAAAGCCUUUUCCCUUUGGUUUCUUUUAGUUUCUUUUAGUUCUUUCUUCUCUUUUUCUAAGAUUAGGAUCACCACGUCACUGAAUUACUGCCAGCAGCGAGAUAGGGGAGGAGGAAGGUGGGGAGAGGGCGAAAUGAAUAGCCGAACGAAUAUUUCUAUCAGGAAGCCAUAACAGAAAAAGGCGAAAAAAGAAGAAAAGAAACCAUUUAAGAAGAAGUGAUUAAAAGGAAGUAAGUAACGAUAAGUAUGCCUAUGAAAUUGGACAGAGGAAUGCUGCGAUACGGAUAGGUUUCAGCACUUUCAGUGAGUUGGAUGAAAAUAAUGGAAAUGAUGUGACGUUCGAA
rnacentral:sRNA from 1 species